AACAUGAGGUUUGAGGUCAAGAGACGCUUCCUCCUUGGUUUUCUUGUGCUUACUGCCCUGUGCCUUACAUGGAGCUUGUUCGUCACCGAUGGGAAAAUGAAGAAGUUAAUUCUUGCAAGAGGUGCAAAAGAAUUGCCUAAAGUUGUUAUCGUAAAACAAAGGAUAACCGGACCAGUCACGAUAAAACGAGCACCUCCAGCGCCGCCGCCACGUCUUACAGCACCCCCAGGGCCUCACCAAUAGUAGGAAUUCCUUGUAUUUCAUGUAUUAGACAUUUCUUGAUGCGGUAAAAAUGUCAUCAAUAGCAUAAGAUCGAAAUCCAUAUAAUAUGUACUCUACUCUAAAUGUCAGUUCAGCAUCAAACACUGAAUAAAUGUGUUACCAAAA